rnacentral:rRNA from 1 species
AGUGAACGCUGGCGGUAGGCCUAACACAUGCAAGUCGAACGGCAGCACAGUAAUAGCUUGCUCUUACGGGUGGCGAGUGGCGUACGGGUGAGGAAUACAUCGGAAUCUACUUUUUCGUGGGGGAUAACGUAGGGAAACUUACGCUAAUACCGCAUACGACCUACGGGUGAAAGCAGGGGAUCUUCGGACCUUGCGCGAUUGAAUGAGCCGAUGUCGGAUUAGCUAGUUGGCGGGGUAAAGGCCCACCAAGGCGACGAUCCGUAGCUGGUCUGAGAGGAUGAUCAGCCACACUGGAAGUGAGACACGGUCCAGACUCCUACGGGAGGCAGCAGUGGGGAAUAUUGGACAAUGGGCGCAAGCCUGAUCCAGCCAUACCGCGUGGGUGAAGAAGGCCUUCGGGUUGUAAAGCCCUUUUGUUGGGAAAGAAAAGCAGCAGGUUAAUACCCCGCUGUUCUGACGGUACCCAAAGAAUAAGCACCGGCUAACUUCGUG